AUGGAUGUGAAAUCAGCUUUUCUGAAUGGCAAAUUAAAAGAGGAAGUGUAUGUCAUUCAACCCCCUAGGUUUGUACUCGAGGGACAAGCACAUAAGGUUCUGAAGUUGCAUAAGGCUCUAUAUGGUUUGAAACAGGCACCCAGGGCGUGGAAUGAGAAAUUGCACAACACUCUGGUUGACUUAGGAUUUGAGCAAUGUCCAUUUGAGCAUGCUGUGUACAGGCGGUCGAAGCUUGUUGUAGGGGUGUAUGUAGAUGAUCUGAUCAUCUCAGGACCAAGCCCAACUAAAAUUGGUGAAUUCAAAGAGCAAAUGAAGAACCUUUUCAGUAUGAGUGAUUUGGGACUAUUAAGCUACUACCUUGGUAUAGAAGUUAAACAACAGUCAAAUGGGACAUUUCUGAGCCAAUCAAGCUAUGCAGCAAAGAUUCUGGAGAAGUGUGGGAUGAGCAACUGUUAUGCUGUUCAAACUCCAAUGGAAGCUCAGCUACAUUUGAGCAAGUUCAGCACUUGCAAACCUGUUGAUCCCACUCUGUACCGCAGCAUUGUAGGAAGUUUGAGGUAUUUGACCCAUACCCGUCAAGAUAUUACAUAUGCCGUGGGAAUUGUAAGCAGGUACAUGGAGAAGCCUGCGACUGAUCACCUAGCGGCAGUGAAACAAAUUCUGCGGUACGUGAAGGGAACACUAAACUUUGGUUGUUUCUAUAAAAGAGAAGAAGAAACUUCCAUGUUGCUGUGUGGCUACAGUGACAGUGACUUGGGGGGUGAUGUUGAUGACAGAAAGAGCACUACUGGAAUCAUCUUUUAUCUUGGAUCAAGCCCAUUAACUUGGCUCUCGAAGAAGCAGAAGGUAGUAUCGCAAUCAUCAUGCGAAGCUGAGUAUGUUACAGCUGCAGUAGCUGCCUGUCAGGGUGUGUGGUUGAGCAGAAUGCUCACUAGUCUGACAGGGCUUGAGGGUGAUCAAGUGGUUCUGAAGGUGGACAAUCAGUCAGCCAUUGCAUUGAGCAAAAAUCCAGUGCAUCACGAGAGAAGCAAGCACAUUGACAUCAAGUACCACUAUAUUCGUGAAUGCGUUGAGAAUGGAAGCACACUGGUGGAGCAUGUACGCACGGGUGAUCAGCUCGCCGAUAUCUUGACAAAGCCCUUGGGGAGGAUUAAAUUUCAGGAACUAAGGGACAGGAUUGGUGUGUGUGUGUAG
rnacentral:rRNA from 1 species